UACGUAGGGUCCGAGCGUUGUCCGGAAUUAUUGGGCGUAAAGAGCUCGUAGGCGGUCUGUCGCGUCUGCUGUGAAAACUCAGGGCUUAACCCUGAGCUUGCAGUGGGUACGGGCAGACUAGAGUGCGGUAGGGGAGACUGGAAUUCCUGGUGUAGCGGUGAAAUGCGCAGAUAUCAGGAGGAACAGCCGAGUGGCGAAGGCAGGUCACUGGGCCGCAACUGGACGCUGAGGAGCGAAAGCAUGGGGAGCGAACAGG
rnacentral:rRNA from 1 species